CUAGGCUGCUUCUUGAGAAGGAAUGUUGCAGUGUUGUAGAGACCCUUCACCAGUUGGUCAUUCACUUCAAGAUCUCUUUCUUGGGUGAAAGGGGAUUCCAGAUAGAAGACAGUUGCUGUUUUGAAGCAGAUUCUGAUGUAGUGGUCUGGAGGAUGUGGACUCCCUCAACUCAUUUUCAGAGAUUAUCAUAGAAACUUUGUGACAGGAGUCUUGUUGGUAUACUAGUGGCCACAUGAUAAGGGAGAAAAUGAAUGUGGUCAGGGAAGCCUGAAUUAUGCAGUCACACCUGAGACCCCAUUUGUUUUCACAAGUGGAUAUAUUUAGCCUAUCAGCUGAUGUGAUGGGAAUAUUGUGAUUUGCUGUUGCUGUUCUUUAACCUAUGAAGCCAGUGAGAAAAGAGAAGGCAGAGUUGCUUGAGCACACACCGAAAGAAGCCAAAAUCUCAGUGUUAUAUGCCAAGGUAACUCCAACAAAUCAUGUCCAGUUGGCAAGCAUAUUCUGGCAAAACCAUGUGUUGUCCAGUAAGCAGAGCAAACGACUGUUAUUGUUCCACAUUCUCUCAGAGAAACUCCCAGUUAAUUCUUCUGGGGAGCAACUUUGAGCAGUGUGGGAAAAUUUCCAAUAUGCAUGUUCAAGCAGGGAAGAAAACCAGGUUUGGACAUUUUAAAAAGAUUGUAUGUGCAAAAUGUGUAUGCAAAUGUGCAUUUUUGUUACAAGAAGGUUAUUACCGUGAUAUUAUUGCUUUGUGUUUCAAAAUGACUUGAUAGUAGAGUUUUUCCUCACUUUUCUCAUUGCAACUUAAGUUUUUCCCCCAGUCAAGUCUGAGUUCAAAGAUCACCCAAUUAGUAAAAGGAAAUUGGAGAAGAUGAUUUUCAUCCUAAUCCCUUACCUGACUGAGACACUUUCACAUGAGACAAACUUUCAGAAGCCUUUAUUCCACAAGGGAAGGUCUUUAGGCUCUCUACCAGGAAAGAACUGUUCAAGGUGAAUGCAACUAGAUAGUUUCCAACAUCACUGUAUGGACAACAACUCAAAGCUGAGCCAAGCUGUCCAUGAAAAGACAAGGCUCCCAGAGCAAUAAUAUCUUUGUUCUUCUCCAACACAUUACCCUUGUGGCUGCAAAAAGCAUGAUUCUAGCUUUCUUCAUGGUGAGUGUUCUACUAAGACACUUCUGUCCCCAAGUGUUUUUUUUUCUGCCAGCUCUGAAAAAUUAACAUUGAGGUGAUAGGUUGCUUCUUUUGGGGUGAGAACUACAAUACUGCUAUAAGAGUCAACAAACCUUGGCUUUAUCACAUCACCAUUCAAAGAGUGAAUCUAACAAUGCACAGUAUGUAUUUUUGCAGUCGCUUUGCCACUAGUUUAUUUCCUUUUCCCUUUCAUUUGGAGAAGGGGUUCUUGACAUAAUCUGCAUCUUGACUUACGUGGGAGCUGUAUCUCUCUGAAGUCCUCUGCAGCUCUCUUUUGAUGAAGCAAGAGAGAGGUCGCAUAAUUAUUAUUGCACAUCCUCAGUGUGUUUUAUGCUUAUAUUUUAAUUUGGUUGCUAGUGUCAUGCAUGGUACCAUGAAAAGUUCUUAUCUGAUCUCAAGAGGCAAACAACUUCCCAUAAUGUCAGUUUGCUUCAUCAGUGCAAAAGGAGGCUUUCAUACAGAGUUCAGGAAAAACAGCUCUGGGUAAUGGGCAGGCCACUCUUCCUGAUCAUCCGUACAUUUACUAUAGAGAAUGGCACAGUGUACUUUUUGAGCAGAAAUGCAGGUUGGAUGUCUUUCAGCACAGUGGAGCAGUUAUUUUAUGCAAGCACAGCAAGCUUCUGGUUUACCACUUUUGGAUGGAAGCAUUCAGAGUGCUAGAACACAAGAGAGAGGAAACUUAUAUUUUGAAUAGAAGUAGAUAUCAGCUAUAUGUGUUUUUAAAUAGAUUGCUAGAACCUCAUGCUUGGAAGGGAAAAUGUAACAAGUCCUGAUAAUUUUUUUCCAACUUUUUUUGGCAAGCUAGCGUCACAUGUGGCAUUUAAAGGUUGAAAAUUCAGCUGACCUAUGCCUGCAUAAACAAAGAGACUAUAAAAAGGGGAAAUAACUUCUUAGAUUUAGUUUUGUCAGAUUUUCCUAGGUAGAAUGGGAAUGUUCAAUCACACUGGACUACUCUCAGCUUUUAAAGGAGGCUGGCUGCAAUCACGCGUUCACUGGGGAUCUGUGGAUAGUACUGUCAGCACAACUUAAUUUCCAGGGCAAAUUCCUCCUUGGAGUUCACUUGGGAUUGAAAAUAGCUCUUAGUAUCUCUAUGCCACAUCCUGGUUUUUAGGGUAUACGGAAUUGGUAUGGUAUGGUGGGAAAAGAAAUGGGCCAAUUGCACGAUCUCCCCACGUAUCAAGGGUACACAGCGAUAUACCCUAUAGAUAGGUAAUCACUUUUACAUGAAGCACUGUAAUUAUAGACAUGGCACAAAUUUUAGAUACAGUUUUUAGAUACAUGUGCAGUGUAAUGUUAGUUGCUAUAAUGACAGAAAAGAGAUUUUUGAAGCAAGAAAUUCCUGUGCACCUUUCCCCUUACAAGUGUUUGCCAUGACUUCCAUUGUAACUCUGCACAUGCUGUCAUGUUUGUUAAGCUGUGGUUAAGGAACUCCUUGUGUCUAUUGCGUUAAAUGUCUCCUCUGUGAAAAUCAUUCUAUUUGGUGUGUGUAUCACUUAAUCCAGUAGGAUUUAUGGUACUAUGUUAAAAUGCUUAUUUUUUCUGUCCUUUACUGUUCGUACAGUGACCAAAAUAUACUGUAAUAGAACUUGGCUUUCUAUUGGUAGAGUAGAGUUAAUAGAUGGUCCCAGUUACUUGUUGCUUUUUGAAAUUUUCGGCUCUCUGAUGUGAUCUCUAACAUGGCCCUGCAACUCUUCUCCAAGAAAUGUGCAAGCAAGUUGAGGUAAUAAGCUUGCACAGAGUGCUAAGGAGUUCCUGGCUGACAAAAUAAGGAAAGCGGAACUUUUAUCUUCAGAUCCAGCUAUGCUUUUUCCAAAAGGGUGAAAUUUGCUUGUGCUGGAUUCAUGGAGAUAGAGUUGAGACAGGAACCAUCUUAGUUCAUAAGGAUCCUGGAGUUGAAGAGAAAAGCUACUCUAGCAAGGCAUCUGGGGAACCUGCUUCAAUCAAAACCAUAUGUGAAAUUAUCACAAUGACACCAGUGUGUGUUUUUGGGAUGAGAGAAAAGAGAUCUAGCAACUAUGUGAAUGUUUGAUUCAGUCUUUUUCAAUGAAACACUUCUCAUGAAAAUGUAUAUUGCAGUAUCCGUUAGCAAGUAUUAUUACAAUAACUUUUAUUGAGUUGCCUUUUUGAAAGCAAGUGGUCUUCACUGGGAGCCAACUUUGAAACUGGAAAGCUGUUCUAAAUUGUGACAAAAUUAAAUUUCAACAUUUUACAAUCUUCAGGAAAAAUUUUUACUCUUUCCACAGUUCCCAUCUUUUUUUAGUAAGGUCUUUCUAUUGUAAAACACUAAAUAAUACUGUUUUGUUU